UCCCACUCAUCACCACUGUUGACCUCUUGAGCCUGGGUUGGCUUCUCCUCGUCCUCCAGCUGAUCCUGGCUUCCUGUGGGCAGGACUGACUGAUCAGAUAGCUGCUGCUCUUCCUCUUCCUCUUCUUCACUGAUCUCCUCCCACUGAUCCAUCAUCACACCGCGAGAUCCUGGCAGCCUCCCUGUAUCUGCAAGAAGCCCUGAGCAGAGAGCUGCCCAAAUGAUGAAUGGUGACGAGAGCAGUUUGUGGUUUUGCAGCAUUGCCACACUCAGGCAGAGUUCUUGCUGUGUGGGCAUCAGAAGUCAAGUCCUUUCCUGUUGGAGGGCUUUGCCUUGUUUGCCGCGGAAGACGACUGAGUUUUGGUUUUUGCACGGCGGGACGACGGGGAGACAGAUGUGAUGACUG